rnacentral:ncRNA from 1 species
CCAAAUUCCAUGAAGAGGAAAGUACCCUUAUAAGAUUUCUGACAGCGAGUAGGAGCAGAGUGAAAGUCCUAUAAGAUAUUAUCAGGGGAAAAGGGCCUUGGAGAAGCCGCCUGAGCUUGUAAGUCAGGGCGUGACGUUGACUGCGUUAAAGUUCCAAGUGGAUUGCAGAUGCAAUCAACCAGAGUGGUACCACGGGAUUUGUCCGUCUCUUAU